AGUGUAGGCGGGAUCGUAAGUUAGGAGUUUAAUGCAUGGGCUCAACCCAUGAUCUGCUUUUAAUACUGCGGUUCUUGAGUAUGGGAGAGGGCGAUGGAAUUCCAGGUGUAGCGGUGGAAUGCGUAGAUAUCUGGAAGAACACCAGUAGCGAAGGCGGUCGCCUGGCCCAAUACUGACGCUGAUGCUCGAAAGCUAGGGGAGCAAACAGGAUUAGAUACCCUGGUAGUCCUAGCCGUAAACGAUGGACACUAGUUGCUGGAGGAGUCAAUCCUUUCAGUGACGAAGCUAACGCAUUAAGUGUCCCGCCUGGGGAGUACGUUCGCAAGGAUGAA
rnacentral:rRNA from 1 species